CCCCACCCCAGCUGCCUCCUCCUUUCUCUGACAACCUCCUGCCUGGGGUGUCCUGGAACUGCGCCAGGGGGACCAGGUGACCUUGGACACGGCGUAGCUGCCUGGGCCACCCCCUUUCCUUGGUAAUUUGCGCAGACUCCGGAGGGAGCAUGAGCAGCUGAGUGCUGGGGGAGGGGCUUUCCUCUUCCUGUCUGUCAUGUCCAGCCUGUGAAGAGCACGCUGGCUGAGCUGGCGAGAGGGGUGGGGGCGUCCUGGGGCUGCUUCUGCUCUGAUGAAGGCACCCACUGUCACUGUCCCGGCCCUCGCUGAGUGUUCCCGGACCCGUGGGCCCGCGUCUGUGCCAGGCCUUGGGGAGCUCCAGCCUCGGAGCCUCUUCCCGUUCUCAGACCUCAGUGCGAGGAGGAAAUCGGGUGCCUAGUGGGGCACUACCUGUCUGGAAGUAUUUUACACGAAGUUUAAGCCUUGAGAUUUCCUGGAGCAGGACCUCUGAAGUCACCAUCACAAAUGGCAGGCCCACACAAGGACUGAUUUACUUCUGACUCACCCAUGGCCUUCAGGCUUAGAGUUGGGGCCUUGUCGGAUUCCUCUCUCUUACCAACUCUGGGCUUUGACUCUGUUGUCCCUAAUGCCAUGCUGAUAAAUAAUUAAUAACUGGCUCUUCAUAAAAAAAAACAGUUUUGA
rnacentral:lncRNA from 1 species